UACGAAGGGGGCUAGCGUUGCUCGGAAUUACUGGGCGUAAAGCGCACGUAGGCGGCUCUUUAAGUCGGGGGUGAAAUCCUGGAGCUCAACUCCAGAACUGCCUUCGAUACUGGAGAGCUCGAGUCCGGGAGAGGUGAGUGGAACUGCGAGUGUAGAGGUGAAAUUCGUAGAUAUUCGCAAGAACACCAGUGGCGAAGGCGGCUCACUGGCCCGGUACUGACGCUGAGGUGCGAAAGCGUGGGAAGCAAACAGG
rnacentral:rRNA from 1 species